CAAAUGUUAUCUGACUGUUCUUGCUAAUUUAGUUAGUAAAUAGUAUAACUGUAAUUUUACAGGUAGCAGACAGGAGGAGCACUGUUUAUCUUGUAGGUAAAUGACAUUUUGCCAUGUUUUUCUGUCCUAGAUAGGAUAGAAAUCUAUCUCUAGGAUAGAAAUUCUAUCCUACGCUAGAUAGGAUAGAAAAUACAGAAGCAAUGGGAAUAUAUCUAUCCC